rnacentral:lncRNA from 1 species
CGAAUGGUGACUGCGGUUUGAGCGGUGCGGGACAAACGGUUCAAUUGCGGUGCGGUUUUAACAGUUAUAAAAACGUAUAGAUAUAUGGUAUAUAUAGAGAUUUUUGUUACUGUUAACUGCGGUGCGGGACAGGGCGAUUGUAAACAUUCGAAGCCUUAAGUUUUUUCCACCUUAUUCAUGUAUACUUUUUUUUUACGACAAACACCAUGCUUUAUUAAUUCAAGACGAAUAUGUUAGCUUUUGAAGCUAACCAUGUCGGAAUCAAAGAGUUUACAUGGGAAAAAACUGAGUU